ensembl:lncRNA
AGCUGAUGCCCAUUACAUGGGCGGGGUGUCUGAGAGCAACAGCUUGGCAAAAGUGAUGCAGAGCUUACAAAAGCAGCUCUUGGGAACUGCACUGUGCUUUUUAGUUUUUAGGGUGCUGUGAGGGGACCUAUGAGGUCUCCCUGAGCAAGGUGGCGUAGACUGGGGCAGAGAAAGUGAUGCUGUCCCCACUAAAAAGAGAGGAAGCAUUGGAGACAUCAGGUACAACUGCUGGGAUGAAGGUCACAGAGGAUGGCAGUGCUGUUGUUACCACCUGCAUUGUGCAGCCAGGGCCAGGAAUCGGCUGCUGUAUUAUAAUACGAGGUGCACCGCGCUCUGCUCUGUGCUACAAGUGUCAUUCUUAAGAUAAUAGAAGUUGCUAAUUGUACCCGGAGCCGAGCUGUGAUUGAUGAGGGCUUUGGGUUUUUGUCUCCACGUUCUGUCGGCAAAACAUUGCACUGUGAAGCUGAGGAAGCUGGGGGGGAACGGAGGUGAAUCGUGGGUCCCCUCCCGGCCCUGCGGAGCUGACAGCAGCCCUUGGGCAGAGUGCUGCCUCCAGGGUGGGAAUGCUGAUGGGGUCACCUGGCUUGCUGGUACCAACGCUCGGACAUUAAAAAAGCCAGGCUGAAAAAUGGACAACUGCGUCCAUGGAGAGGGUGAUGGUGUUGCAUUUCUGGAAGCAACGCUUACAGCUCUUAUUUCUGUGCUCUCCACAGUGAUAAAAUGAUUUUGCCUUUGGAGGUAGGUGCGACUUGUCGUGGAGAUCCUUGUCUCCCCAGUCUGGGGGUAAAUAUAAGGAGAGAGGCGGUGCUCUGAUCUACAGAGAAAUCUGCUUUAGACCACUGCAGUGGUUUUUGCGUUUGAAAAGACACUGCUUUUAAACGUGGGUUUGUUUGAAGACGAUCUGAUAAAUCCUUUAUUACCCUUCUCUCAAUCCGUGUUUAUUCGCAAGGCCGAUGCUGUGUAACGAUUCUGGAGAGCCCUUUUCUCCUUCACAGUCCACAGCCCGAGCAGAAGCGCCGUCCAGCAGACUGCCACGAGGCACAAAGCCCCACGCGCUUCUCCCCACCCACCGGCAGGGCGCUGCUCCGCGCUGAGCACACAUUGCCCUGCGACGGACGGGGCCGAAUCCUCAGCAGACACAAAGUUGGUCCCGGCCCCGAAGGUCGGGGUGGGGGGGAGCGGCGCUCGGAGCCGCCGCAUCGCCGGGGCAGCAGCUCCGCCUGGCGGGACGCGACCGUACGCGCAGUGCCGACCCCGGGGACGGCGGGGAUGCGGGGUGCGCUGCGAGCCGGAGGAGUAACCCGCUGGUCUGAGAAAUGCAGUAAGGGAAAGAGGAAAGAAGGACAAAUCGCACUGAUGCCUCCCACGCAUCCCAAAGCGAAGGAGGACUUCUGACAUAGCGAACCCCUCGGCGCUGAGGGCGACGCCGUGGUGGCUUUGGGCGCUGACUGACGCUCUGUAACGGUGCAGAAGAAAUGGUGGCAAAGCUGCUCUUCGUGGAUCUCAGCAAAAUGAACACUGUCGCUGAGUUUGGCACCGAGGCGAUGUGCAGAGUGGAUGGCCCCACCGGUUCCCAGCAGAGGGCUGGGGUGUGGGGGGAGCACGAGGAAACACGUUGGGCAAGCGGAGGUCUGUCCUGCUCUCUCUGUCUCUCUCCACUGUCCCACGUGGCCGCCCUUUCCCAGAAGUGACCAGGAGGCAGUACGGACGCUGCUCCCAACGUGUUGGGCUGUUCUGACCUCAGCCGGCUCAGAGCUAGCCAGCGUGAUGCAGCACCAAGCGCUGGCAGGAGUCCUGUCCGCAGCAAAGCAGCCAGCUCUGUUUUCAUUUGUUUUAGAGACAGCUUCUCCCCCUCCAUGUGCGAGCAGCUGGCUCCUGUUGUAACUCCAGCAUCUCAACCAACCACUGCUUCAUCUCCCGAGGUGUGGGGCAGCGAUCCAUCCCUCUGCUCACAGCACUGCUGGACCUCAAAGAGCCCCACGAGCCGAGGUGGGCACCCCACAGCCCCACUGACCUGCAGGGAGAGCUGCAGGGCCCCGGAGCUGAUACAGCACCGCAGCAGGAGUGGGAAUUAGUUCUGCUUUCUGCUACGUGGAAUUUUAUUUGAUUAGUCUAAUCUAUCGCAUUAUUAUUUACCACAUGCAAAUCUCUUCAGACUGAUUAAAGCUGACAUUUAAGCUAAGGGAUGAGAUCUGGAAAGGAGUAAUAAGGAAAAAUUAUUUCACAAGCUUUAGCAGUGGAGAUUUGUUGGGUAGGUCGAUUACAUUUAAAAUUUAAGGUUGAGAGUUGACCCUAAAUCUCCUUUAAGGAAAAGGAAAGAAUUAAUUCCCCAAUUUGUUACAUCUCAGCUUUACAGAGUGCUUCAGCAAAACCCACAGGAGCUUGUAGUGGUGCUGCUGGUUUGGAAUGGUGGUUUUGGGUAUGAGAGGUAACCAGCAAUGAAUGCUAGCUUGCAAAAUCUCAUAUCGACAUGUUUACUGUCUUUAAGACCUGGAAUUAUGGCUGUAAGACCUUCCUAAGGCUAUGGAGUGACAGUGCAAGCAGUGGUUUCUGGGUUGCUGAAGGAAAAUAGUGAGCUGUAUACCGGAGAUAUUUUCAGCACACACAGUUUAGUAUCCACUUAUUUCUGCUGCUGACCAAAUGGUAUAAGGGCUACACAUUUAUACAGCACAACCUCUGCUUCAAAUAAAAGGUGACAAAAGUGAUAUGCUGUCCUCUGUGAUGUUCUGCAGAGAAGGGGUGGGGGAAGAGGGAGAGAAAGAGCGCUGCAAUGAGUUUAUUCCCACAGUCGCUGUAGGGACAUCGUUAUCUUUUGUAAAAUAGAUAUAGAAAGGUUAUGGAGCAAAUAAGGGUCUGAUUUUUGGAGAUCAGGUACUUCACAGGGUUGAAUACCUCACAGCCUCCUUCACAUGAACCUGUAAAAGAAAACCUCUCCAUGAAACCUCAAAAAUUCUUGCAAGAAUCAGAUGUUUAGCCCUCCACAAGUAAUAGUAUUGAAAGCUUUUCCUAGACAGGGGUCAGAUCCAUUUUAUUGUAAGAGCAGCUCAAUUCUAAGUGCAAAAGGACAGAGCUAAAGGACAUCUCAGUGUGACCAGGUGCUACUCCAGCUCCAGGAGUGCUUAACAGAGAGCCCCAGGAGUGCAUUGGAGCUGGGGAGAGGGAUGGGAAGCUGCAGCUCCUGGCCCUGUGUGCAGAGCUAAAGGUCUCACUCACAAACUGAGCAAAAGAGGUGGAGCAAAUGCCUGCAUUGAAAUGCUUCACUUCUAAACUCUCCAGAUUGCAAGGAGAGUGACUCCAUGGGUGAGCACUCAUCUGUUCAGAACAGAGCCAUCCAUGAGAUGUGUUUUAGCUUUUUACCGGAGGAAAAAAAUCCACCCCCCAAAAAAUGGGAAUAAGACAUUUCCAUUGCAAAAGGGUUGUGACAGCUCAGCUGCUACCACACCUCACCCCCAGCCCAGCAAGCACUUCUUGCAUUCUCGUCUCAGCACACACUGCAUUGGCGGCUCUUCAUGUGCAGCACCAUGGUAAUUUAUCAUUACCCGCUCUCCAAAUUAUUCUAGUGUUGAUUAAAUUAGUAAAUGCAAUCACAAUCCGAAGCAAGUUAAUUGAGAGAAUUUAUUUGGUCCUGACAGUUUUAUGCAUGUUUGAUUAAGUAUUAUAAGGUUUGUUUUUGAUUUUGCAUAAUUUAACUUUAAAUCCUGAGCUGGGGGGGGAGCAUCAACUAUUA